rnacentral:rRNA from 1 species
CCCUUAGAUGUCCUGGGCUGCACGCGCGCUACACUGAUGUGUCCAGUAAGCACCUAACCUCUUCCGAAAGGAACGGGUAACCUUUGCAAAGCACAUCGUGAUGGGGAUAGAUUAUUGCAAUUAUUAGUCUUGAACGAGGAAUUCCUAGUAAGCACAAGUCAUCAGCUUGUGUUGAUUACGUCCCUGCCCUUUGUACACACCGCCCGUCGCUCCUACUGAUUGAGUGUCUCGGUGAAUUCUUUGAUCUUCUGUCGAUUCAGUUCACUGAUCCGACGGUGGAAAGUUGAAUGAACUUCGUCACUUAGAGGAAGGAGAAGUCGUAACA